GUAACUGCGAGUGAAGCGGGAAAAGCUCAAAUUUAAAAUCUGGCGGUUUUGGCCGUCCGAGUUGUAGUCUGGAGAAGUGCUUUCCGCGCCGGACCGUGUACAAGUCUCCUGGAACGGAGCGUCAUAGAGGGUGAGAAUCCCGUCUUUGACACGGACUACCGGUGCUUUGUGAUGCGCUCUCAAAGAGUCGAGUUGUUUGGGAAUGCAGCUCAAAAUGGGUGGUGAAUUCCAUCUAAAGCUAAAUAUUGGCGAGAGACCGAUAGCGAACAAGUACCGUGAGGGAAAGAUGAAAAGCACUUUGGAAAGAGAGUUAAACAGUACGUGAAAUUGCUGAAAGGGAAACGAUUGAAGUCAGUCGCGUCGUCCGGAACUCAGCCUUGCCUCGGCUUGGUGCACUUUCCGGUUGACGGGCCAGCAUCGAUUUUGACCGGCGGAUAAAGGUUCGAGGAAUGUGGCACCCUCGGGUGUGUUAUAGCCUCGGAUUGUAUACGUCGGUUGGGAUCGAGGAACUCAGCUUCGGCUUAGGAUGCUGGCGUAAUGGCUUUAAACGACCCGUCUUGAAACACGGACCAAGGAGUCUAACAUGCCCGCGAGUGUUUGGGUGGUAAACCCAGGCGCGUAAUGAAAGUGAAAGUCGAGACCUCUGUCGUGGAGGGCAUCGACGCCCGGACCUGACCUUCUGUGACGGCUCCNCGGUAGAGCGUGUAUGUUGGGACCCGAAAGAUGGUGAACUAUGCCUGAAUAGGGUGAAGCCAGAGGAAACUCUGGUGGAGGCUCGUAGCGAUU
rnacentral:rRNA from 1 species